rnacentral:rRNA from 1 species
AGAGUUUGAUCAUGGCUCAGGAUGAACGCUGGCGGCGUGCCUAACACAUGCAAGUCGAGCGAUUCUCUUCGGAGAAGAGCGGCGGACGGGUGAGUAACGCGUGGGUAACCUGCCCUGUACACACGGAUAACAUACCGAAAGGUAUGCUAAUACGAGAUAAUAUGCUUUUGUCGCAUGGUAGAAGUAUCAAAGCUCCGGCGGUACAGGAUGGACCCGCGUCUGAUUAGCUAGUUGGUAAGGUAACGGCUUACCAAGGCGACGAUCAGUAGCCGACCUGAGAGGGUGAUCGGCCACAUUGGAACUGAGACACGGUCCAAACUCCUACGGGAGGCAGCAGUGGGGAAUAUUGCACAAUGGGCGAAAGCCUGAUGCAGCAACGCCGCGUGAGCGAUGAAGGCCUUCGGGUCGUAAAGCUCUGUCCUCAAGGAAGAUAAUGACGGUACUUGAGGAGGAAGCCCCGGCUAACUACGUGCCAGCAGCCGCGGUAAUACGUAGGGGGCUAGCGUUAUCCGGAAUUACUGGGCGUAAAGGGUGCGUAGGUGGUUUCUUAAGUCAGAGGUGAAAGGCUACGGCUCAACCGUAGUAAGCCUUUGAAACUGGGAAACUUGAGUGCAGGAGAGGAGAGUGGAAUUCCUAGUGUAGCGGUGAAAUGCGUAGAUAUUAGGAGGAACACCAGUUGCGAAGGCGGCUCUCUGGACUGUAACUGACACUGAGGCACGAAAGCGUGGGGGAGCAAACAGGAUUAGAUACCCUGGUAGUCCACGCCGUAAACGAUGAGUACUAGCUGUCGGAGGUUACCCCCUUCGGUGGCGCAGCUAACGCAUUAAGUACUCCGCCUGGGAAGUACGCUCGCAAGAGUGAAACUCAAAGGAAUUGACGGGGACCCGCACAAGUAGCGGAGCAUGUGGUUUAAUUCGAAGCAACGCGAAGAACCUUACCUAAGCUUGACAUCCUUUUGACCGAUGCCUAAUCGCAUUUUUCCCUUCGGGGACAGAAGUGACAGGUGGUGCAUGGUUGUCGUCAGCUCGUGUCGUGAGAUGUUGGGUUAAGUCCCGCAACGAGCGCAACCCUUGCCUUUAGUUGCCAGCAUUAAGAUGGGCACUCUAGAGGGACUGCCAGGGAUAACCUGGAGGAAGGUGGGGAUGACGUCAAAUCAUCAUGCCCCUUAUGCUUAGGGCUACACACGUGCUACAAUGGGUGGUACAGAGGGCAGCCAAGUCGUGAGGCGGAGCUAAUCCCUUAAAGCCAUUCUCAGUUCGGAUUGUAGGCUGAAACUCGCCUACAUGAAGCUGGAGUUACUAGUAAUCGCAGAUCAGAAUGCUGCGGUGAAUGCGUUCCCGGGUCUUGUACACACCGCCCGUCACACCACGGGAGUUGGGGGCGCCCGAAGCCGGAUUGCUAACCUUUUGGAAGCGUCCGUCGAAGGUGAAAUCAAUAACUGGGGUGAAGUCGUAACAAGGUA